ACGUAUUUUUUUUAAUAUCAAAAAUGAACAUUUGUAACCAACAAUUGACAUGUUCAUUACAAAUAGGUACCUAUUUGUAACUAACAUAUCAAUUGUCGGUUACAAAUAUUCACCUGUUUGUAACCAACAUAUUAAAUGUCUGUUACAAAUACAUAACUAUUUGUAACUAACAACUGAAAUGUUAGUUACGAAUAGGUACCUAUUUGUAACGGACAAUGUCCGUUACAAAUAACAGGACUAUUUGUAACCCCAGUACUUGUAACGGCCAAUGUUGGUUACAAAAAGCCCGUUUUUGUUAGUUACGAAUAACGUUUUUUCUACUAGUGAAUCUUACUCUGAUUACUCUUUAUUCACAUAUGCUACAGGCAAAGUUCAGAUUACUGUCAUAGUUUAUGUUGAGGAUUUAAUUAUUUCUGGGAAUGAUUCCGCUGGCUUAUCUUAGCUUCAAGAUGAAGGACCUUGGUCCUUUGAAAUGUCCUUCGAAAUAUUUUUUGGGUAUUGAGGUCUUUUGGGAGAAAAGCCUAGUGGCUUUCCUAUGGAGCAAAACCACAAGUUGAGUCUUGCUACUGGUGAUCUUCUCUCUGAUCCGGAGGCAUAUCGACGACUAGUUGGCCGUUUGAUUUAUCUUGCUGUUACUCGUCCUGAUUUAGCAUACUCGAUUCAUGUUUUAUCUUAUUUUAUGCAAGAAUCUCAUAGUGAGCAUUGGGAUGCUGCAUUAAGGGUGGUCUGUUAUUUGAAAGGCACUCCGGUAUAGGAAAUUUUAUUGAGCUCUGAGUGUGACUUGAAUCCGUAGGGUUGGUGUGACUCAGAUUGGGCUGCAUGUCCUCUAACACAUCAUUCUUUGUUUGGUUGGCUAGUGUUUCUUGGUACGUCUCCCAUUUCAUGGAAAACCAAGAAGCAACCCAUAGUGUCAACGUCUUCUACACAAGCUGAAUGCCGUUCCAUGUAGGCAAUUACAUGUGAUCUAAAGUGGAUCAAAGCUUUGUUGUUAAGUCUCAGUGUGCAACAUCCGAAAGCAAUCAAAUUAUUUUGUGACAAUGAGUCGGCUCUUCAUCUUGCUAAAUUUCCCGUGUUUCAUGAACGAACAAAGCAUAUUGAGGUUGAUUUCCACUUUGUUCGUGAUGCAAUUACCGAAGGGUUGAUUUCUCCUUCUCAUAUUUCGACUUCGUCUCAGCUUGCGGAUAUAUUCACAAAGGCUCUUGGCAAAUCAGAGUUCAAUUAUCUUCGUUCUAAGUUGGGCAUUUAUGACCCGCAUGCUCAACUUGAGGGGGGGGGGGGUAUUGAGAUAUUAUGGGAUAUUAAUUGAUUUACUAGAAUAUUAUCUCAUGUAUAUUUUAGUUAACUUUAUAUUUUCC